rnacentral:rRNA from 1 species
GUCUAUGGCCAUACCACCCUGAACACACCCGAUCUUGUCUGAUCUUGGAAGCUAAGCAGGGUUGGGCCUGGUUAGUACUUGUAUGGGAGACCACCGGGGAAUACUGUAGGUGCUGUAGGCU